rnacentral:tRNA from 1 species
GCCUCGGUGGUGGAACUGGCAGACACGCGGGUCUCAAAAACCCGUGCCCCUAAAGCGUGUGGGUUCGAAUCCCACCCGAGGCA